rnacentral:rRNA from 1 species
AACGAACGCUGGCGGCAGGCCUAACACAUGCAAGUCGAGCGAAGCCUUCGGGCUUAGCGGCGGACGGGUGAGUAUCGCGUGGGAACGUGCCCUUUGGUACGGAAUAGCCCCGGGAAACUGGGAGUAAUACCGUAUGUGCCCUUCGGGGGAAAGAUUUAUCGGCAAAGGAUCGGCCCGCGUUGGAUUAGGUAGUUGGUGGGGUAAUGGCCUACCAAGCCGACGAUCCAUAGCUGGUUUGAGAGGAUGAUCAGCCACACUGGGACUGAGACACGGCCCAGACUCCUACGGGAGGCAGCAGUGGGGAAUCUUAGACAAUGGGGGAAACCCUGAUCUAGCCAUGCCGCGUGAUCGAUGGAGGCCUUAGGGUUGUAAAGAUCUUUCAGUGGGGAAGAUAAUGACUGUACCCACAGAAGAAGCCCCGGCUAACUCCGUGCCAGCCGCCGCCGUAAUAC